rnacentral:rRNA from 1 species
UAUGUAGGUGACCAGCGUUGUCCGGAUUUACUGGGCGUAAAGAGCGCGCAGGCGGUCGUUCAAGUCGAGUGUGAAAGCCCCCGGCUCAACUGGGGAGGGUCACUCGAUACUGAUCGACUUGAAGGCAGGAGAGGGAAGCGGAAUUCCCGGUGUAGUGGUGAAAUGCGUAGAUAUCGGGAGGAACACCAGUGGCGAAGGCGGCUUCCUGGCCUGUUCUUGACGCUGAGGCGCGAAAGCUAGGGGAGCAAACGGG